UGGAAAACAGAUUCUCUAGAACGGAAGGCUCCCUUGAUGGAACUUAAGACAGCCAAGGCAGAUGCACGUACCCGGAAGGUCGCCUGUGUCCCGAGAAGAGCAGCCGACUCCUGUAUUGCAAGAGUCCUGUACACUUAUUUAUGAACCAGCCCUGUCCCCACCCAAAGUAGCACUCCUUCAGGCCAAGCCAUCCAAUUGUAAAUCCCUCCUGCCUUGUUAAUGUUGGGUGUGCAGAGAAUGGGAGGCGCUGUUUAAUGGCCAGCCCACCCAGCCUGUCUUCUAAACUGGAACAUCCUUGCAUUUUUGGGAGGUGAGAGGAGGUUCCAGGAGAAUC
rnacentral:lncRNA from 1 species